CAUCAUUCAAAAUUGAUUAAAAAGUUCAUUCAUUUAACAACUUAAUGUUCAUGUAUCAAAAUAUCAUAUACUUUUCUUACCAUUUCAUUUAACCAUCUAAAUCUUAUAAUUCAACCUUCACUACCCAAAGUAAUAUGCAUAUUCAAGUGACUAUAUAACACCUAUGUACAUGCCACCUUUACCCAAAAGAAAAAAAUACCUCACCAAAUUUGUGUUGGAGUCGGGAAUGUUCUGGAUGCUGAACCGGGACACUUGCCUUCUACUAACCUGCGCACGGAAACAACCGUACGCUGAGUAUGGAUAUACUCAGUGAUAUUACCAUAAUUCAAAUUAUAUCAACAAUAGUAAAAACAUAAAUAUUAAAAUACCUAACAAUUAAUGUCAUAUGUACUAAUUCAUAAAUCAAUGUAUUUUCUCAAACUUAAAUUUAUAUCACUUAUGAAUAUACAUUUCAUACUUUUCUCUUAUUAUCACAAUUCCAAUUUCAAUUCGUAAUUCAAUUUAUUUUUCUUGUUUCAAUGCCUCAAAUUCACAUUUCAAUUUUUCACCCUAUUAACGUAACUCGGACUUUGGCGGAUACACGGAUCCAACCAAACACACCAAUAUGGCACCCAGUGCCUCAUCGGAUAGUUCGAAGUAAUAGUUGACACCCAGUGUCUCAUCGGCCUAGCCGAAGUAAAGUUGGUACCUAGUACCUCUCGAAUCUAUCCGAAGAAAUAUAGUGACACCCAGUAUCUCAUCGACUCGAGGUCGAAGUAUCCCUGAACACUUCCAAUCCUAUGGCAUGCCAACUAUAUCCGACUCAGCCCGACUAGUUAAUAGGGUAUUCAAUUCACUUUCUCAAUCCUAUAUCACUUUCAAUUCACAAUUCAAAUCACCAAUCAUUUUUCAAUCAAUACGCUUUUCAAAUAAUUACAUCUUCCAUAAUUCACUUAUUCAAUUCAAUUUGAUUCAAUUUGCAUCACUUUCAUUUUCACUCAAUAUUCAUAUCAAUUUCACAUACUUACCUCAAGUUUUACUUACCAUACAUAACAAUAAAAAAAAUUCAGCAAUCAAUAAUAAUUAAAAUUCGAAUUAUAGUAAUACAGACCGUAAUUCUCCCGUUUUAGUACUCGAUGACUUUCUCCUUUCCUUUCGAUGCUGAUGCUUCAGGUUCUUUGUUGGCAAUUAACUCCAAGCUUCAUAAACCUUAUUUCCCCUUUUCUUUCUUCUUUCCUUUCUUUCUCCCCUGUUCUUCUCUAUUUCGUUUACUUUUCAUUCUGUUUCUU
rnacentral:lncRNA from 1 species